rnacentral:rRNA from 1 species
GAUGAACGCUGGCGGCGUGCCUAAUACAUGCAAGUCGAGCGAACAGACGAGGAGCUUGUUCCUCUGACGUUAGCGGCGGACGGGUGAGUAACACGUGGAUAACCUACCUAUAAGACUGGGAUAACUUCGGGAAACCGGAGCUAAUACCGGAUAAUAUAUUGAACCGCAUGGUUCAAUAGUUAAUGACGGCUUUGCUGUUACUUAUAGAUGAAUCCGCGCCGCAUUAGCUAGUUGGUAAGGUAACGGCUUACCAAGGCAACGAUGCGUAGCCGACCUGAGAGGGUGAUCGGCCACACUGGAACUGAGACACGGUCCAGACUCCUACGGGAGGCAGCAGUAGGGAAUAUUCGGCAAUGGGCGAAAGCUUGACGGAGCAACACCGCGUGAGUGAUGAAGGUCUUCGGAUCGUAAAGCUCUGUUAUUGGGGAAGAACAGAUGUGUAAGUAACUAUGGACGUCUUGACGGUACCUAAUCAGAAAGCAACGGCUAACUACGUG